AGCAGAAUGACUGAGAUAAUAGGUGAAAGAUUGUAAAUCUUUUUAGGGACUAAAAAAUCCUUUUGCUA
rnacentral:tRNA from 1 species